UACGGAGGGAGCUAGCGUUGUUCGGAAUUACUGGGCGUAAAGCGCACGUAGGCGGCUUUGUAAGUUAGAGGUGAAAGCCCGGGGCUCAACUCCGGAACUGCCUUUAAGACUGCAUCGCUUGAAUCCAGGAGAGGUGAGUGGAAUUCCGAGUGUAGAGGUGAAAUUCGUAGAUAUUCGGAAGAACACCAGUGGCGAAGGCGGCUCACUGGACUGGUAUUGACGCUGAGGUGCGAAAGCGUGGGGAG
rnacentral:rRNA from 1 species